rnacentral:rRNA from 1 species
UACGUAGGCAGCGAGCGUUGUUCGGAGUUACUGGGCGUAAAGGGUGUGUAGGCGGUUGUUUAAGUUUGGUGUGAAAUCUCCCGGCUCAACUGGGAGGGUGCGCCGAAUACUGAAUGACUUGGAGUGCGGGAGAGGAAAGUGGAAUUCCUGGUGUAGCGGUGUAAAUGCGUAGAUAUCAGGAGGAACACCGGUGGUGUAGACGGCUUUCUGGACCGUAACUGACGCUGAGACACGAAAGCGUGGGUAGCAAACAGG